UUGAGGUAGUGACAAGAAAUAACAAUACAGGGCUUAUAGUCUUGUAAUUGGAAUGAUGGGAAUCUAAACCCUUCCCAGAGUAUCAAUUGGAGGGCAAGUCUGGUGCCAGCAGCCGCGGUAAUUCCAGCUCCAAUAGCGUAUAUUAAAGUUGUUGCAGUUAAGAAGCUCGUAGUUGAAUUUCUGCCUUAUCAUUAAUUUCGCUUCCGAACGUAAUUUUAUUGAUUUGGCAUCUUCUGGAUUAUAUAUUAUUUUUAAUAUAUUUUUCCAGUAUUUUACUUUGAGAAAACUAGAGUGUUUCAAACAGG
rnacentral:rRNA from 1 species